rnacentral:rRNA from 1 species
UACGAAGGGUGCAAGCGUUACUCGGAAUUACUGGGCGUAAAGCGUGCGUAGGUGGUUUGUUAAGUCUGUUGUGAAAGCCCCGGGCUCAACCUGGGAAUGGCGAUAGAUACUGGCAGGCUAGAGUGCGGUAGAGGGUAGUGGAAUUCCCGGUGUAGCGGUGAAAUUCGUAGAUAUCGGGAGGAACACCGGUGGCGAAGGCGGCGAUCUGGGUCGAUACUGACGCUGAGGUGCGAAAGCGUGGGGAGCAAACAGG